UGGGGAAUCUUGGACAAUGGGCGCAAGCCUGAUCCAGCCAUGCCGCGUGAGUGAAGAAGGCCUUCGGGUUGUAAAGCUCUUUUACCAGGGACGAUAAUGACGGUACCUGGAGAAUAAGCCCCGGCAAACUUCGUGCCAGCAGCCGCGGUAAUACGAAGGGGGCUAGCGUUGUUCGGAAUUACUGGGCGUAAAGCGCACGUAGGCGGAUUGUUAAGUCAGAGGUGAAAUCCCGGAGCUCAACUUCGGAACUGCCUUUGAUACUGGCAAUCUAGAGUCCGGAAGAGGUUAGUGGAAUUCCCAGUGUAGAGGUGAAAUUCGUAGAUAUUGGGAAGAACACCAGUGGCGAAGGCGGCUAACUGGUCCGGUACUGACGCUGAGGUGCGAAAGCGUGGGGAGCAAACGGGAUUAGAUACCCUCGUAGUCCCUGAGCGGGCUGGCAAGGCGCAU
rnacentral:rRNA from 1 species